AACGAACGCUGGCGGCAGGCCUAACACAUGCAAGUCGAGCGCCCCGCAAGGGGAGCGGCGGACGGGUGAGUAACACGUGGGAACGUGCCCUUUGCUACGGAAUAGCCCCGGGAAACUGGGAGUAAUACCGUAUAAGCCCUACGGGGGAAAGAUUUAUCGGCAAAGGAUCGGCCCGCGUUGGAUUAGGUAGUUGGUGGGGUAAUGGCCUACCAAGCCGACGAUCCAUAGCUGGUUUGAGAGGAUGAUCAGCCACACUGGGACUGAGACACGGCCCAGACUCCUACGGGAGGCAGCAGUGGGGAAUCUUAGACAAUGGGCGCAAGCCUGAUCUAGCCAUGCCGCGUGAGCGAUGAAGGCCUUAGGGUUGUAAAGCUCUUUCGUGGGGGGAGAUAAUGACUGUACCCCAAGAAGAAGCCCCGGCUAACUCCGUGCCAGCAGCCGCAGUAAGAC
rnacentral:rRNA from 1 species